rnacentral:lncRNA from 1 species
AAAUAAAACAUAUGCAUAUAUACAUACAUAUAUCACGUCUAGCCAUGCAACUACACGCAUGAGAAUAUAUACAUAAAACAAAACAUACAAAUCUGCACAUA